rnacentral:rRNA from 1 species
CCUACGGGUGGCAGCAGUGGGGAAUCUUUCACAAUGGGCGAAAGCCUGAUGGAGCAACGCCGCGUGAGGGAUGAAGGACUUCGGUUUGUAAACUGCUUUUAUAAGCGAGCAAUAUGAUGGUAACUUAUGAAUAAGGCUCGGCUAACUACGUGCCAGCAGCCGCGUUCAUACGUAGGAUCCGAGCAUUAUCCGGAUUGACUGGGGGUAAAGAGUUGCGUAGGUGGCAUAAUAAGUAGCUAGGGAAAUCUGGUGGCUCAACCAUUAAGACUAUUAGUGAAACUGUUAAGCUCGAGAGCGUUAGGGGUAAGUGGAAUUUCUAGUGUAGGAGUGAAAUGCGUAGAUAUUAGAAAGAACACCAGUAGCGUAGGCAGGUUACUGGGACGGUUCUGACACUAAGGCACGAAAGCGUAGGGAGCAAACGGGAUUAGAUACCCGUGUAGUC